UUAAACGAAAGUUUAGAUUUUAUUUUUGUCAAUUUGGCCCGUUGAAUUUUUGGAAUUUCGUAGUAGAAUGUAAACUCUUUUUUUACCGAUGGUAAAACAUCAGAAGUGCUGUGUACAAAACUGAACCAGCAUUGGACCAACUCUACUAUUACUGGUGAUUAUGUUACCAACAACAGCCCUAACACGUCGUCGAAAUUCUAAAACCGCAUUUGAAAAUGGGCAUGUGUGCGAGUGCCAUUCGGUGUAAUGAAAUUGGAUAAUGUGACGCUCUUCUGCUAUAGCAUUCUGUGAAAAAGAUUUCAUUGAAUGAAAAUGGAUUAAUCGAACCUGAAAAAAAGAAGAUUUCGAACGACUUCUUACAUCUGGAGUCAAUUUCCAUAUUUUAAAUGUUCGAAUUUGAAAAUUGGCUAAUUGCUCCUCGUUGACUAUACCACUGGUAAUAAACAAAAAUAAUUAAUUUUUACCAAAGAAACGGGAAGAUUGAAGAGGAUGUGGAGUUUGGUGGCUAUGAAAACUAUAAACUACGGAAGUGAAGGAGUGACGGCUAGUCAAGAAAAAUGACUCCGCAGUGCGCUGUCCGAAUCAAUUGAAUGCAUUCCCGAUUAACACUGGAAAUUUCAGAUUUCAAAUGAAAAUUGUGUACGACGACGACAAGCGAUGAAGACGGAGACUGUGGUUCACCAUCUCCGAUUGGAGAUGAAAAUGGCAACAGUGAUUAAGCACUAAAUGCUCAAAUCAAUACCAAUUUCACCAACAAUUUUCAAAGAUUGAUAGAAGGCAUAUCUCGGCAGCGCACGAAUGGAACUACGAAUGCAGUCCACAAAGUGGGUCAUUGGCAUCAACCGCAAAUAUCAGAAAAAUGAGAGACUACAACGAGAAUUCGAUGACAUCGGCUGCAUUGCCUAUUAGGUACUAUAGCAGAGCUAAUGGAGCU